rnacentral:rRNA from 1 species
UGGGGAAUAUUGCACAAUGGAGGGAACUCUGAUGCAGCGACGCCGCGUGAACGAAGAAGGCUUUCGAGUCGUAAAGUUCUUUUAUAUGGGAAGAUAAUGACGGUACCAUAAGAAAAAGCCCCGGCUAACUACGUGCCAGCAGCCGCGGUAAUACGUAGGGGGCUAGCGUUGUCCGGAAUCACUGGGCGUAAAGGGUUCGCAGGCGGAAAUGCAAGUCAGGUGUAAAAGGCAGUAGCUUAACUACUGUAAGCAUUUGAAACUGCUCAUCUUGAGAUAUGGAAGGGAAAGUGGAAUUCCUAGUGUAGCGGUGAAAUGCGCAGAUAUUAGGAGGAAUACCGGUGGCGAAGGCGACUUUCUGGCCAUAAUCUGACGCUGAGGUACGAAAGCGUGGGUAGCAAACAGG